GGUCGAUUAGCUCAGCGGGAGAGCGCUUCCUUCACACGGAAGAGGUCACAGGUUCGAAACCCGUAUCGCCCACCA
rnacentral:tRNA from 1 species